AAAAUUGUUUACUCUAGCUGGAGUGAAUUGAUUACCAGCUGUCUCUCUUAUUAAACUGACGUGGAGACAGACAUACAGACAAGAUCUGCGUUUACAAUUUGUGUGUUCUGAAAUGGCUCCUAGUCAGGCUGAUGCUAAAAAUAUAUCAAGCCACUUUUCAGAAGCAUCAACAACCUGUAGUUAGAGUAUAGUUAUAGUAUAGCUGGGGAUGUCGUUAUAGUAUAGUUAUAGUGAAGCUGGGAAUGUAGUUAUAGUAUAGUUAUAGUAUAGCUGGGGAUGUAGUUAUAGUAUAGUUAUAGUAUAGUUAUAGUAUAACCGGGGGUGUAAUUAUAGUAUAGCCGGGGAUGUAGUUACAGUAUAGUUGGGGGUGUAGUUAUAGUAUAGUUGGGGAUGUAGUUAUAGUAUGGUUGGGGAUGUAGUUAUAGUAUAGUUAUAGUAUAGCUGGGGAUGUAGUUAUAGUAUAGUUAUAGUGUAGCUGGGAAUGUAGUUAUAGUAUAGUUAUAGUAUAGUUGGGGAUGUAGUUAUAGUAUAGUUGGGGAUGUAGUUAUAGUAUAGUUAUAGUAUAGUUGGGGAUGUAGUUAUAGUAUAGUUAUAGUAUAGCUGGGGAUGUAGUUAUAGUAUAGUUAUAGUAUAGUUGGGGAUGUAGUUAUAGUAUAGUUAUAGUAUAGUUGGGGAUGUGGUUAUAGUAUAGUUAUAGUAUAGUUGGGGAUGUAGUUAUAGUAUAGUUGGGGAUGUAGUUAUAGUAUAGUUGGGGAUGUAGUUAUAGUAUAGUUGGGGAUGUAGUUAUAGUAUAGUUGGGGAUGUAGUUAUAGUAUAGUUGGGGAUGUAGUUAUAGUAUAGUUAUAGUAUAGUUGGGGAUGUAGUUAUAGUAUAGUUAUAGUAUAGUUGGAAAUGUAGUUAUAGUAUAGUUAUGGUAUAGUUGGGGAUGUAGUUGUAGUAUAGUUAUAGUAUAGUUGGGGAUGUAGUUAUAGUAUAGUUAUAGUAUAGUUGGGGAUGUAGUUAUAGUAUAGUUAUAAAAUAGUUGGGGAUGUAGUUAUAGUAUAGUUAUGGUAUAGUUGGGGAUGUAGUUGUAGUAUAGUUAUAGUAUAGAUGGGGAUGUAGUUAUAGUAUAGUUGGGGAUGUAGUUAUAGUAUAGUUAUAGUAUAGUUGGGGAUGUAGUUAUAGUAUAGUUAUAGUAUUUUAGGGGGAUGUAGUUAUAGUAUAGUUAUAGUAUAGUUGGGGCUGUAGUUAUAGUAUAGUUAUGGUAUAGUUGGGGAUGUAGUUGUAGUAUAGUUAUAGUAUAGUUGGGGAUGUAGUUAUAGUAUAGUUAUAGUAUAGUUGGGGAUGUAGUUAUAGUAUAGUUGGGGAUGUAGUUAUAGUAUAGUUAUAGUAUAGUUGGGGAUGUAGUUAUAGUAUAGUUAUGGUAUAGUUGGGGAUGUAGUUGUAGUAUAGUUAUGGUAUAGUUGGGGACGUAGUUGUAGUAUAGUUAUAGUAUAGUUGGGGAUGUAGUUGUAGUAUAGUUAUAGUAUAGUUGGGGAUGUAGUUAUAGUAUAGUUGGGGAUGUAGUUAUAGUAUAGUUGGGGAUGUAGUUAUAGUAUAGUUGGGGAUGUAGUUAUAGUAUAGUUAUAGUAUAGUUGGGGAUGUAGUUAUAGUAUAGUUAUGGUAUAGUUGGGGAUGUAGUUGUAGUAUAGUUAUGGUAUAGUUGGGGACGUAGUUGUAGUAUAGUUAUAGUAUAGUUGGGGAUGUAGUUGUAGUAUAGUUAUAGUAUAGUUGGGGAUGUAGUUAUAGUAUAGUUGGGGAUGUAGGUAUAGUAUAGUUGGGGAUGUAGUUAUAGUAUAUUUGGGGAUGUAGUUAUAGUAUAGUUACAGUAUAGUUGGGGAUGUAGUUACAGCAUAGUUAUAGUAUAGUUGGGGAUGUAGUUGUAGUAUAGUUAUAGUAUAGUUGGGGAUGUAGUUGUAGUAUAGUUAUAGUAUAGUUGGGGAUGUAGUUAUGGUAUAGUUGGGGAUGUAGUUAUAGUAUAGUUAUAGUAUAGUUGGGGAUGUAGUUAUAGUAUAGUUAUAGUAUAGUUGGGGAUGUACUUAUAGUAUAGUUAUAGUAUAGUUGGGGAUGUAGUUAUAGUAUAGUUGGGGAUGUAGUUAUAGUAUAGUUAUAGUAUAGUUGGGGAUGUAGUUAUAGUAUAGUUAUGGUAUAGUUGGGGGUGUAGUUGUAGUAUAGUUAUAGUAUAGUUGGGGAUGUAGAUAUAGUAUAGUUAUAGUAUAGUUGGGGAUGUAGUUAUAGUAUAGUUGGGGAUGUAGUUAUAGUAUAGUAAUAGUAUAGUUGGGGAUGUAGUUAUAGUAUAGUUAUAGUAUAUUUGGGGAUGUAGUUAUAGUAUAGUUAUGGUAUAGUUGGGGAUGUGGUUGUAGUAUAGUUAUAGUAUAGUUGGGGAUGUAGUUAUAGUAUAGUUAUAUUAUAGUUGGGGAUGUAGUUAUAGUAUAGUUGGGGAUGUAGUUAUAGUAUAGUUAUAGUAUAGUUAUAUUAUAGUUGGGGAUUUAGUUAUAGUAUAGUUGGGGAUGUAGUUAUAGUAUAGUUAUAGUAUAGUUGGGGAUGUAGUUAUAGUAUACUUAUGGUAUAGUUGGGGAUGUAGUUGUAGUAUAGUUAUAGUAUAGUUGGGGAUGUAGUUAUAGUAUAGUUGGGGAUGUAGUUAUAGUAUAGUUAUAGUAUAGUUGGGGAUGUAGUUAUAGUAUAGUUAUAGUAUAGUUGGGGAUGUAGUUAUAGUAUAGUUAUAGUAUAGCUGGGGAUGUAGUUAUAGUAUAGUUAUAGUAUAGUUGGGGAUGUAGUUAUAGUAUAGUUAUAGUAUAGUUGGGGAUGUGGUUAUAGUAUAGUUAUAGUAUAGUUGGGGAUGUAGUUAUAGUAUAGUUGGG
rnacentral:lncRNA from 1 species